GGACAAAGAUCAAAAAGUGAAAUAACAAAAGGCAAAGUUGGGAUUGUUGAAGAAACCUAAGAAGAGUAUGAUGAUGAGCACAGUAAUGAGCCAAUAAGGGAAAACGACGCUCAAGGCAACCCCAACAGUGAUGCCAAGCAUCAACAUAGGCUGGAAAAGAAGAGCCAAAUCGUAGUCAAUGAUUGGCACUUCCUUUGUGGGAUGCGGCACUCUAAGAUUAUACCAAACUGACGAUGCUGAUGCCCCCAUGAUCAUGCCUGCAGCCAAUUCUUAUAAUAAUCCCUUAAUUUCAUCCAAAUCCAAUCGAUAAUAUUUUGUUAAAUUUAAAUAUAUGACAUUUUAAUACUUAAAAGUUGCUAUUUAAAAUUCAAAGGUGUGUGAUUUUAAUUUUUAAAUUAGAGAUUAGAGAGACUGGAUUUCAAAAGUUCAAACGGCAGAGAGAUAAGGAACAGAAAAAAUACGAAAAGAAGUUACAUUUGGAAAUAGCAGCGGCAGAUUUGGUAUCAAAUCCAACAAUCAAGGUAAGCAUUGGAACAAAAAUGCCGCCGCCGCCAACGCCGCCCACCGUACCACAUGCUGAUCCUAGAAACCCUAUCACCGUCGCCAUUACAAGCCUCCAGUUCAAC
rnacentral:lncRNA from 1 species